UUACGGCCAUAUUACGUUGAAUCUCCGGUUCCUGUACGAUCACCGAAGUUAAGCAACGCCGAUUCUGGUUAGUAUCUAGAUGGGUGAUCGCUUAGGAAUACCAGGUGCUGUAAG